GUUGCUCAGCUGGUUGAGUGCUUGCCUAGCAUGCAAGAAGCCCUGGGUUCCACCCCCAGC
rnacentral:tRNA from 1 species